AGAGGCAGAGGUUGGAGUGAUGUGUCUCUAAGCCAAGGAAAGCCAAAGAUGCUGGCAACAUCAGAAGUUAGAGCCUUCAGAGGAAGCAGGAAGUUGCAGACAUCUUGAUUUCUGACUUCUGGUCUCCAGAACUAUAAUAGAAUCUUCUAGCAGCUGAGGCCCAUUUCAUCUAUGCAUCGCACCACUUAUUCCUAUGAGAACCAGUUACUUGGAAUACUGUAGCAACUAUGUAAAUUCUUAGGUCUCCUCAUAAACCCAAACACCAACAGAAGCAUUGAUAAUAUCCAUGACUGACAAGAAUAUUUAAAGAUUUCAGGUGGGCUCCACACCCAACAUGGGGCUUGAACUCACAACCCUGAGAGGAAGAAUUGCAUAUUCUACCAACCGAGCCAGCC